UCCCACCCCGACGCAAGCCAAGCGACCUUUUCCGCAUUUGUAGCCAAAUUUCCUGGCCUGGGGAAGGAGUCUUAGGGGAAGCACCCGGGACCUCCUCCUUGGCUUUUUCUGGGAGUCUAGUUUCACCUAUUUCGUUUCGCCAGCAGGCGAGAGGGACAAGACUUCGGGCUCAGCUCCCACGAUCAGAACUGACCUGUCCAUGGCUAAAGCCUUUUCCAUACAGAACCAAGGUAGUCCUUCAUUCUACCUCGUGGAGAAGAUAAUUUGAAGGAUCACGAGAACUUGAAGAAUUUUUCAACAACAUAGAGCUCUCGAAUCAGAUUCUCCAGUCAGAUGAUGCCAUAUUUAUCAAGAGAUCUAGCAAUUAAAGAGUUAUCUCUGUUAAGGAAACCCAACAUCCUCGGGAAGUCCUUCUGCUUCUUUGUCCUUCACAAGAUCAACUGAAGUUCUCUAGCUGUGUAAAAAGGCUAAAUUUCAGAGACGGGGUUUCGCCAUGUUGGCCAAGAUAGUCUCGAUCUCCUGACCUCGUGAUCCGCCCGCCUUGGCCUCCCAAAGUGCUGCAAUUACAGGUGUGAGCCACCUCGCCUGGCCCAUCAAAGUCAUUUUUAAAUGAAUGCAUAAUAUUCUAUAUUAUGCAUGAAUCAUAAUUUAUUCAAUUAUUCUAUCAAUGGGUAUGCAUUCUGUUUUUUCUUCUAGAGUGUGGCAAUAAAUAAUCUUGUGUAUA